UUUGGUUCAAAAUCGUCCUGACUUUGGCUGGGGCCAUGGGUGAGAUUCAGCGCCUAGAGCCACCAGGAGCUUCAGCUCACCACCGCAGCUUUGGUGUGGAGAGGUGAAACCCAGGCUCCAACAGAU